rnacentral:rRNA from 1 species
GACGAACGCUGGCGGCGUGCUUAACACAUGCAAGUCGAACGGAAAGGCCCUGCUCUUGCGGGGUGCUCGAGUGGCGAACGGGUGAGUAACACGUGAGUAACCUGCCCUUGACUUAGGGAUAACAUUAGGAAACUGGGGCUAAUACCGGAUAGGAGCUCCUGCUGCAUGGUGGGGGUUGGUAAGAUUCGGCGGUUGGGGAUGGACUCGCAGCUUAUCAGCUUGUUGGUGGAGUAGUGGCUUACCAAGGCUUUGACGGGUAGCCGGCCUGAGAGGGUGACCGGCCACAUGGCGACUGAGAUACGGCCCAGACUCCUACGGGCGGCAGCAGUGGGGAAUAUUGCACAAUGGGCGGAAGCCUGAUGCAGCAACGCCGCGUGCGGGAUAACGGCCUUCGGGUUGUAAACCGCUUUCGCCUUUGACGAAGCCUGAGUGACGGUAAUGGGUAAAGAAGCACCGGCUAACUACGUG